GACGAACCGAGCGAACGUUGUUCGGAAUCACUGGGCUUAAAGGGUGCGUAGGCGGGCUGCCAAGUUUGGGGUGAAAUCCUCCGGCUCAACCGGGGAAGUGCCUUGAAUACUGGCGGUCUGGGGGGAGGUAGGGGCGUGCGGAACUAACGGUGGAGCGGUGAAAUGCGUUGAUAUCGUUAGGAACUCCGGUGGCGAAGGCGGCACGCUGGACCUCUUCUGACGCUGAGGCACGAAAGCCAGGGGAGCGAACGGG
rnacentral:rRNA from 1 species